rnacentral:tRNA from 1 species
GAAAGGUUAAUCUAAAAUAAGACUAUCGAUUUCGACUCAAUAAACUGUGGACAACACCACAACCUUUCU